rnacentral:rRNA from 1 species
AUUGAACGCUGGCGGCAGGCUUAACACAUGCAAGUCGAGCGGAGAUGAGGUGCUUGCACCUUAUCUUAGCGGCGGACGGGUGAGUAAUGCUUAGGAAUCUGCCUAUUAGUGGGGGACAACAUUCCGAAAGGAAUGCUAAUACCGCGUACGCCCUACGGGGGAAAGCAGGGGAUCUUCGGACCUUGCGCUAACAGUGGAGCCUAAGCCGGAUUAGCUAGUUGGUGGGGUAAAGGCCUACCAAGGCGACGAUCUGUAGCGGGUCUGAGAGGAUGAUCCGCCACACUGGGACUGAGACACGGCCCAGACUCCUACGGGAGGCAGCAGUGGGGAAUAUUGGACAAUGGGCGGAAGCCUGAUCCAGCCAUGCCGCGUGUGUGAAGAAGGCCUUUUGGUUGUAAAGCACUUUAAGCGAGGAGGAGGCUACCUGGAUUAAUACUCUAGGAUAGUGGACGUUACUCGCAGAAUAAGCACCGGCUAACUCUGUGCCAGCCGCCGCCGUAAUAC